AGUUAAGGUUGACAUGUAAUAGAAAUGAAUGGAGAGUCCCUCUACGAUACGAACACAAACCUGUGUGUGUGUGUGUGUGUGUGUGUGUGUUUCCAGCUACUUUCCACCACAAAUCGUUAAGCACAUCAUUGUAGCAGCAGUGGCAACGCAAACAUUUAGCGAGACUCGACCCACUGGCUGGAUUUUCCCUUUUGUCUUCAGUCAUAGUUUUUCGCUGAGUCGACUAAAUGCCAAAUGUUACGUGCAAGACGUCAGAUGCAGAUUAUACUUCGGCAUUCCUCUGGGGGGCUUUAAGCUCUGAAGAAGAAAAAAAACAGUGGCCUAGCAUUUUGCAUGUUUGAAUAUCCGUCGGUCUGUAUGUUUGUUUAUAUCGAUUGCCCCCAUCACCUCUGAGUGGGGCCCGUCCAGGAGCCAUGACCAAUAAACGGGGUAUAUAAUGCGUGGCUCCCUAUUGGCUGAUGAAUUGGGCUGUGCUGAUUGGCCGAGGUAAGCUGGCAAUAACCCAAGUGCCUGCCCCCAGACCUUCCCGUGUCCUUAUUUAACACCGAACAUCAAAUGAAUGAAAUAAAUCACACCACUUAAACAGAGAGGCUGUGUCUCUCUUGCGUGUGCGUGACAGUGGUUACAGGUGGAGUUCCUUGGCGACGUUCAUAAUGAAAUGGCAGAACACAUUUUACUUGCGUAAUAAAUCUAAUUGUUAUAUUGAUUUUUUUGCUUCCCGGCCUCCUGCAGCCCAUUAGAAUCUAAACAGUGGCGGCUGUGUCCCGUUUUGGAGGCGUUUGAAGACAUUAUCUUCACCCCCAUUCUGAUUACAGACACAAGUCUGCUUUGCAAAGCUGAAUAAACAGUCGUAACCGAUGACUCCCUGUUUAUGUCCAGGAAAUUAGCCUGUUCUCUUUUAAACGAUCCAGUUUUGUCAUAUCCUGUAAACAUGCCCCGACACGGGGAGGACUUUCUCGGUGAAUUGCAGGGGGAAAUCUUCAGCCUGUAAAUAGUUCUCUGAAAAUAACCAGAACUCCCAGUCACGUUGUGUUCUUCAGGAUAAUUUCAGCCCCCCCCCCCCACACCAACUGCCCAUUGAAGAUCCAGUAAUGUAAAUGCACAUUUUAUUAGACCCUAAAAACAAUCUGAACAUCCAUCAACCUAAUGCAGUAUUAAUGGGCUUCAGAUGUACCGUGAAGGUUCUAGACUGCCUCCUAUAGACGACACAGCCUGGCUGCCCAGGCAGGUCAUAUUUUUCGAAGGACGUGAGUCAUUUUCCCUGGAAAAUGUUCAGUGCGGCUCCUCGGAUGGGAAACUGACCCGGCAUUUUAAUGGACGCUGCUGGAACUGGAGGCUGUAGAUCUCACAUCUAUAAAAGAACCUGCACUUUGUGCCUACAAAACCAAGAGUUCUGUGCUCCUUUCAUGGUGUAAGUAAGUAUUUUGUCAGGCAUUAGGUUAUAAGUCAGGCUCUGACAAUGGGCUGGUUGGUGUAGUCUAGACGCUAACAGUUAGCAUGCUUCUUGGGUUCCAGAUACACCGAGAUUAUUAUAUAAAUGUACCUUGUGGUGUGUUAUUUAAUGUUAAAUUUAGUUAUAAGCUGACAGGCAUUCACCCAUUCAUCUAUCCAUCCAUCUUCCGACUGCUGACCUUGGUCAGAGUUACUCGGAGCCUACGCUAGGCGCCAUACCCAAAGCUACAUCAUGGAACCUCGUCCUGACAGACGUGCAGUGCUGUUUAUUUAUAGGCACCUGCCCAAUACAGAAAAGGACACUGAUGUAAAUUGAUACAUAAAUUUGACAGCAAACCAGUGAGAGGAAGAAGCGGAGUUAUUUUGGCUGUGAGCAGGUGUGGAGGAACCAGGAAACCCAAGUCAGUAACGGCCGAUGGCACUCACAGAAGUCAAGGCAGAACUGUGAUGGCACCCCUCUCUCUGUAUCGCCACGAAUGCGGAAAGCCUCCCCGGGACAGCAGUAGGCAUUGACUUUUCUCUGUUACUUCUGCACACGUUUUGUAAUGAAUGCUUAGGACGUGCUCCAGAUCGCCAGUGUUUAUACGGCACCCUGCCCUCACAGAGAACCGCUGCAGUAGCAUUGGCUUGGCUUUCAUGUUCUCUUCAGGGAUGCACUUGAGCUGUCAUUUAUAAUUUACUGUGUUGCCCCGAUCCUUGGUGAUCUCUCUCCUUUCCCAAGUUCUAUUUAAUACAUCAGCUUUCACUUCUUGGAAUAUAACAAUGACAGACAUCAAAGAUGUAUCAAACAUACCACUAUGAAUACUUACAAACACAGUGGAACAUUGUAUUGUAAUACAAUAUUGUAAUA